UUUUGUUUUAAAUAGUUGUCGAAAUCUAGUUCAAAUAUUGGAGAAAUAAGAUUUAGUGAACUGAUUGAAAAUAUAUUUAGGUGCGUUUUGCUCAUUUUAAGGGAUUGCAAUUGUAUUUUGGUUUGUCAAAUUUUUUUGUUUUAAAUAGUUUCCGAAAUCUAGUUUAAAUUUUGGAGAAAUUUGCGUGAUAUAUGGGAUUAGAAUAUAUUUGGAAUAUUUUUUGUUUGUUAAUCAAUUUAUUGCCAAAAGAAAACCAAUAAUUAAAAGCCAGUGACAGGCAUUGUAAAUAAGUUCGAACUCCAGGAUUUAUUUCACAAAAUAUCUGCAAAAAUGUAUAUAUAGAUAUAAACGGAUGGUGUAGAAAAAAAUAUAUUCUGAAAUGGUUAAAAAAUUUGAAGAAUAAAGCGAAACAAUACAUUUCUCCUCAUUUUUUCUUUCUUCCUAAAACAUGGUUAUCGGUUAAAACCUAAGACGUUAAAAGAUAUUUAAAUAUAGUAGAUAGUAGAUGAACUAAUAUGGU
rnacentral:sRNA from 1 species